UCUUUCAUUCUCUCUCUCUCUCUCUCUUCCCCUCAUUUUUAUCAAAAAGAUUUUUCUCUCUCUUUCAUUCUCUCUCUAUUCCCCCAUCUUUAUCAAAAAGAUUUGAACUUCACCAUGAAUUCAAUCUUCAUCAACCCACGAAUUUCUCGUUGCUACGUUAUCUACCAUUUUCAGUUUAGUAAGAGUCCACUUUCAACAGUGGUCUAGUUUAUUUCUGUUUUGGGUUUCAUUUGUUGUGCGAAAAAUCUAAAAAAAAAAAAAAACCUCUCAACUUCACCCACGAUUUCAUUCAGUUCUCACUUUAAGUUUUUUCAAGAAAUUGAAAAGAGAAGAACCAACUUUUAAAAAAAAACUCCAUUGUCAGCUAUUAAAGGAGAUCGAAGCACGAGUUUGAAAAAUCAAUUUGCAGCAAAUUAACUUAGUUUUGAGUGGGUGAUAUGUCAAAAGAACUAGAAUGUUGAAAGGAGAUCAAAUCUAAAAUUUGGGGCUUUUUGGCUGCUUGCAGGAUCGCUUGAGAUUGCUUAUGCCGAUUAAUGUAGGCAAGGAAUAUCAUUGGGUACUGAGUGUUUUGUCUAUAAAAAGCAUGUGUCUUUAUAUCAAUGAUUCAUUACCGGGAGGUGCUGCGCACACUGAUGUGGUUAGAGAACUUGUUGACAAAUUGACAAAAAUCAUACCCCUCUUCUUCAACAGUACUGAAUGUUAUGCAAAAGGAAUGGCAUAGACUAGAAUACUAAAUCAGCCUACAUUGAGAAGGGCAUUUGUGAUUCUUUGGGAUACAUCUUGAUAAAUGUUUUGCUAGAACAACAUCCUGAAUCGAAUGACUCUAGAGUCUAUGUAUGUGCAUUUGUUGAAUAUCAGCCCAAGACAUUUCGGAAAUUUUGAAGGACAGCUUCGAUCAUAGUCUUCACCGUUAGUAGGUAUGGUGCUCUGUUGUGGGAUUACGCAAGGCAAAAGUAGGCUUUUGGAGCUGUUAGUGAGAGUGAAGUCACUGGAAUGGUUACCAGUAAAUUACAUCACAUGGGAUAAGAAUUUACAAGGAAGUUAUCCCGCAAUGAAAGCUAUUAUCUAGAUCCAAAAGACAAGUGCAAAAAAAAAAAAAAAAAAAAAUAUUUAGUAAGCUAAUUGUAGUGUUUGAUGUAAAAAGAUAGUUUGUUGCUGACCUUAUUAUGCUACACUUUAAUUGCUUCUAUCUUUAUUUUUUAUUUUUUUCUUUCUUAUUUAAAUCUUGUAAUUCAUGAAUUUCUAAGUUUAAUAAAUUACAUUUGAUACAUAUUGCA